UACGAGGGGGGCGAGCGUUGUUCGGAAUUAUUGGGCGUAAAGGGUGCGUAGGCGGCCUGACAAGUCUGAUGUGAAAUCCCUGGGCUCAACCCAGGGCCUGCAUCGGAAACUGUCGGGCUUGAGUAUGGGAGAGGUGAGUGGAAUUUCCGGUGUAGCGGUGAAAUGCGUAGAUAUCGGAAGGUACACCUGUGGCGAAAGCGGCUCACUGGACCAUUACUGACGCUGAGGCACGAAAGCUAGGGGAGCAAACAGG
rnacentral:rRNA from 1 species